GCAAAUGCAGUUCAUCUCAAGGAUGAAUCAAUUAUGGAAUACAUCAAAAAUCUUGAGUAUCUACCAUUGGUAACACUAUAUUAAUCUACUGCAUUAUGCUUGAUUUGUUUGGUUGUGAUUAUGUGAUUGGAUGAACAUCUUGUUUGAAUUUAUUGUCUAGUUGAUUGAUUGUUUGAAUUUGAAACUCUGUUUUUUUUUGUGUCUCGGUCGACUAUGUUAUUAAUACAUUUGACUAUGUUCCUGUUUUGUGUUAUCUACACUCACAGUAUUUUAUCAAAUUUUAUUAUGAGUUUCUUUUGAUCUUUCGCGC
rnacentral:lncRNA from 1 species